CCCUUAGAUGUUCUGGGCCGCACGCGCGCUACACUGACGAAUGCAACGAGCUUAUAACCUUGGCCGAAAGGUUUGGGUAAUCUCCAAAUUUCGUCGUGAUGGGGAUAGAUUAUUGCAAUUAUUAAUCUUCAACGAGGAAUGCCUAGUAAGCGCAAGUCAUCAGCUUGCGUUGAUUACGUCCCUGCCCUUUGUACACACCGCCCGUCGCUCCUACCGAUUGAAUGGUCCGGUGAAGCGUUCGGACCGUGGCCUUUGGACGGUUCGCCGUCUGUUGGCUGCGGGAAGUUCGUUAAACCAUAUCAUUUAGAGGAAGGUGAAGUCGUAACA
rnacentral:rRNA from 1 species